CCUACGGGGGGCUGCAGUGGGGAAUAUUGGACAAUGGGGGGAAUCCUGAUCCAGCCAUGCCGCGUGUGUGAAGAAGGCCCUCGGGUUGUAAAGCACUUUCAGUGAGGAAGAACGCCUGGUGGUUAAUACCCAUCAGGAAAGACAUCACUCACAGAAGAAGCACCGGCUAACUCCGUGCCAGCAGCCGCGGUAAUACGGAGGGUGCGAUCGUUAAUCGGAAUUACUGGGCGUAAAGCGCGCGUAGGUGGCUUGAUAAGCCGGUUGUGAAAGCCCCGGGCUCAACCUGGGAACGGCAUCCGGAACUGUCAAGCUAGAGUGCAGGAGAGGAAGGUAGAAUUCCCGGUGUAGCGGUGAAAUGCGUAGAGAUCGGGAGGAAUACCAGUGGCGAAGGCGGCCUUCUGGACUGACACUGACACUGAGGUGCGAAAGCGUGGGUAGCAAACAGGAUUAGAUACCCUAGUAGUC
rnacentral:rRNA from 1 species